UGGACAGAUUACUGUAUUCGACUGUAUUCACGACGUGAAACAGGGGGGAUUACACUAUUUUUAAACGGAAACUGAAUCGAUUAGCAUAAUAGACUCCU
rnacentral:pre_miRNA from 1 species